rnacentral:rRNA from 1 species
AGAGUUUGAUCCUGGCUCAGGACGAACGCUGGCGGCGUGCUUAACACAUGCAAGUCGAACGGUGAACCUCCUUCGGGAGGGGAUCAGUGGCGAACGGGUGAGUAACACGUGAGCAACCUGCCCCUAGCUCUGGGAUAACCCCGGGAAACCGGAGCUAAUACCGGAUACGAGACCGAGCGGCAUCACGCGGUCUGGAAAGUUCUUCGGCUAGGGAUGGGCUCGCGGCCUAUCAGCUUGUUGGUGGGGUAACGGCCCACCAAGGCGACGACGGGUAGCCGGCCUGAGAGGGCGACCGGCCACACUGGGACUGAGACACGGCCCAGACUCCUACGGGAGGCAGCAGUGGGGAAUAUUGCGCAAUGGGCGAAAGCCUGACGCAGCGACGCCGCGUGAGGGAUGAAGGCCUUCGGGUUGUAAACCUCUUUCAGCAGGGAAGAAGCGCAAGUGACGGUACCUGCAGAAGAAGCGCCGGCUAACUACGUGCCAGCAGCCGCGGUAAUACGUAGGGCGCAAGCGUUGUCCGGAAUUAUUGGGCGUAAAGAGCUCGUAGGCGGUUUGUCGCGUCCGCUGUGAAAGCCCGGGGCUCAACCCCGGGUCGGCAGUGGGUACGGGCAGACUAGAGUGCAGUAGGGGAGACUGGAAUUCCUGGUGUAGCGGUGAAAUGCGCAGAUAUCAGGAGGAACACCGAUGGCGAAGGCAGGUCUCUGGGCUGUUACUGACGCUGAGGAGCGAAAGCAUGGGGAGCGAACAGGAUUAGAUACCCCCGUAGUCC